rnacentral:rRNA from 1 species
AGUGGCGGACGGGUGAGUAACGCGUGAGAAUCUGCCUUGGGGUCGGGGACAACCACUGGAAACGGUGGCUAAUACCGGAUAAGCCGAUUGGUGAAAGAUUUAUUGCCCGAAGAGGAGCUCGCGUCUGAUUAGCUAGUUGGUGAGGUAAGAGCUCACCAAGGCAGCGAUCAGUAGCUGGUCUGAGAGGACGAUCAGCCACACUGGGACUGAGACACGGCCCAGACUCCUACGGGAGGCAGCAGUGGGGAAUUUUCCGCAAUGGGCGAAAGCCUGACGGAGCAAGACCGCGUGAGGGAGGAAGGCUCUUGGGUUGUAAACCUCUUUUCUCAGGGAAGAAGCUCUGACGGUACCUGAGGAAUCAGCCUCGGCUAACUCCGUGCCAGCAGCCGCGGUAAUACGGAGGAGGCAAGCGUUAUCCGGAAUUAUUGGGCGUAAAGCGUCCGCAGGUGGCGAUUCAAGUCUGCUGUCAAAGCACGGGGCUUAACUCCGUAAAGGCAGUGGAAACUGAAUAGCUAGAGUGCCGUAGGGGUAGAGGGAAUUCCCGGUGUAGCGGUGAAAUGCGUAGAGAUCGGGAAGAACAUCGGUGGCGAAAGCGCUCUACUGGACGGCAACUGACACUCAGGGACGAAAGCUAGGGAGCGAAUGGGGAUUAGAUACCCC